CCCAGGCGCCCCCAUUCAAAAUGUAUUUUCAAAUGUACCUCUAUCUUGUCCCAAAAUAAAUUCCAGUAUCUUUUAUGUUAAGUGGUACAUUUCUCUCCCACUGACUUAGAAGUUCUGUCUGUCUCAUCACCUGAGUGUCUCUUUGAACUUGAGUCUCUACCUCAUGGUUUAAGUCGUGGUGUUUUAUGAUAAAAAAUGCCAGAGCUGUUCCCCGAUGACUUCCGGGUUUCUUUUGGAAUGUUCCUCCCUAUGCCUGCCUGGUGAUUUUCUCCAACUGCUGGUAACCCUUCUAAAAAGUUUGAUGGUUGUAUUUUGGAGACCGCAUCGAAUGUAGAUUGGCACAGGCAGGGCGGACAUCUGGCGCAUGUGGCUUCCUCCUGUCCCCGAGGAUGGGAACGUCGAAGUUUGCGAUGUAGAUUUUGUCGUUAGUAUCGGCACUGUAUAUGGAUUUUUUUUUUUUUCCUCCUGAGGAUUGUUUAAACAUAGGAAAGCCCUUGAUUUUUCUACUUAGUUUUGUACCCCAGCUACCCUGCUGAAUUCUGUGGUCUGGGGGUUUUGAACCUUGGGCCUCAGAAUUCUCUAGAAAGCCUCCUGAGGUGCAGAUGGCAGGGCUGGGGAGGGACCUGAGAGUGGGCCUUUGUAAGGAGUCCCCAGGCUUAGUGUUUUGGCCCCUGUGAUUUCUUCUUUUUCCCUCCAGCCUUAUUGAGAUCUGACGGAUACAGGAGUCUGUGCAAGUUUGAGAGGUAGGUACAUACAGCGUGUUGAAUGCAAUCGUAAACGAUUGUGUACCUGGAAAUGAGGAUAAUUUCCCUACUCUGCACUUUCUAGGCCUUUUGUUCUUUCUCUUAAUUGUAUCAGCAAAUUCUUUAAGAACUUCAAUAGCAGUGAUAGGCCCUCACCAUUCCUGACUUUGAUGGAAAUGCACCUGGCCUUUUACCAUGAAGCAGGGUGCUUUUCAGAUACAUCUCCACGUAAAGGAAGGAUCCAUCUGUAAUUACGUUAAAAGUUUCCGUCUAGAUGGUGAAUGUUAAAAAAAGGUUUUCCCUUUUAAAUAAGGAACCCAAAUCAGUAGGGCUCUAGCUGCUGAGCAGUGUUGUAUUUAUUUUUUCUUUAAUUUUUUUUAACGUUUUUAUUUAUUUUUGAGACAGAGAGAGACAGAGCAUGAGCAGGGGAGGGGCAGAGAGAGAGGGAGACACAGAAUCCACAGCCUCCAGGCUCCGAGCUGUCAGCACAGAGCCCGACAUGGGGCUCGAACUCACUGCGAGAUCAUGACCUGAGCUGAAGUCGGACGCUUAACCGACUAAGCCACCCAGGCACCCCAAGCUGGUUUGUAUUUAAACUGCCAAGCUUCGAAUGUGUGAAUUCAGUUGGACUGGGUUCAGUACGUGUGUGUGCAACUAGGUUAGUCUGGGGCGUCUGGGGGGCUCAGUCGGUUAAGAAUAAAAUCCAUGCUGACGAUUUUUUAUAUCCUGGUAAGUUUUUCAUCUUAUGCAAGUUUUCGAGUUAACUUACGUACGUUUGACCAGACUACGUGAAAUCUUUUGAGCUGUGGCUUUUUACUUCCAUUUUCCCUACAUUAUGUUGUAGCAAUUCUGUUUUUCUUUUAAAUUAAUUUUGCUUUUAUAGCAUCUCCUGCUGUUCGUUUCUUUUUCCAGUUUGAGUCGAUUGUUAAGUUCCUACAUGAAGAAUGGAAGUAAAUGCAUAUAUAGAGGUAUCACUUUCCUCUUUGAGCUCUGCCUUCUUUGGUAUACUGCAUAGACUCUGAUACAUGUGUUCUGGGUUCGUGGUUGGCUUCUAGAUUUUCUUUUUUAAAUCUUUAUUUCUCUUAGAGAGAGACACACACAGGGGAGGGGCAGACAGAGGGAGGCGCAGCAUCCGAAGCAGGCUCCAGGCUCCGAGCUGUCAGCACAGGGCCCGACGCGGGGCUCGAACUCACGAACCGUGAGAUCGUACGACCUGAGCCGAAGUCGGAGGCUCAACCGACGGAGCCCCCCGCAGGCGCCCCCGUACUCAGAGCUUUCCACUUGGAGCCAAGAGUUUAAAAAUGUUUGUGGGCUGGAGAAUUUUCCUACAAAUGGGGCUGUUCACUUUCAGUUUUAAUAAAUAGUAAUUAGGGGAGCCACCUAUGUCCUGUCUACUUGGGAUUGUGGUUUUAGUUGUGCCCUUCCCUGUGACCAGGUAGAGUCUCUGAAUGAAUUCCCUGUGUGUCUUCCUACAUUUGCCGUACGGUGCCCUGUGAGUGUGGAUGUUGAGUUGCCCUGUGCCCAGGCCCGUUGGACUUUCAGUGGUGAAUAUAUCUCCUUGAAUUCCCUGCCCUGCCUUCCCUCAUGCUUUUGGCUUCGAUUUUAAUCUUGCCUGCCGUUAAUGAUGUCACGUGGCUGUGUGUAUUACUUGGAGUUUGCCUGGUAUAUUUUAGCUUGAUUUUUCUGAGUCUUUUUUUCUUAUAAACUGUAUUUUGACGUAACUUGAAUCGACCUAGAGGCUGCAAAACUGGUGCUGAGAGUUCCUGGGCACUCCUCUCCCAGGUUCGCCUAAUGAAAACAUCUUCCCUCAUCAGAGCACAGCCACCCAAGCAGGACGCUGGCAUCGGCACGAUAUCAGCAACGACGCAUAGACCUUAUUCGAAUGCCGCCAGUUUUUCCAAAGCCCCUGCUUUUAGGCACACUCAAGGCUAGGGGCACAGUCUUCCAGAUGGCAAAGUCUGCCCAAGCCUCCCGACACCCACUCCGCGGUCCGAGGGCCCCCCAAGCCGCCCUCAGGUUGGACAGUUUGCUGAAGAGACAGAACUCACCGAAACCUGUUAGACUGUUGGUCAAGCUUGUUACGGGGGAGGAUACACAUCAGCGCCAGCCGCGGGGUGGACCGGCAGUGUUCCAAGAACAGAGUUUCUGGUCAUCCUCACUGAGCCCGACGGUGGUCUUGGGGACCCCUGCCAUCAGUCCUGGGAAACUUGAUCACGUGUAGAGAUUGACGUGACCCUCGCUACCGUCACGAUCCAGAACUGUCCCAUUUGCCUCCCAAACUCCUUCCUGCUCCCCCUCUUCCAGUACUGCCCUCCUAACGCUGACCCCUGACAACCUGUCAUCCGCUCUGUCACCUUGUCACUUCGAGGAUGUUAGGUAAAUGGAACCGUACCAUACGUCACCAGUAAGACGGGUUUCUGCCACUCGGCGUGAUACCCAGGGGACCCACCCUGGAUGCGACGUGGACGCUCCUGAGCCCUCCACUGUGGGGGGGCCGCUCGUCGGCAGAAGGAGGCGUGGGUGGUUGUAAGAUGCGGCUCUUCCGAGUGACGCUGCCGUGGGCAUGAGGGUCUGUGCCUAGAGUGGCGAGGCUGGGUCACAGGCUAAGCGUUUGACCAGAUGGGACGCCAUCAGCCUGUUCUCCAGAGCGGCUGUGGUACCUCCCUGCCCUGUGACACAUCCGGGCACCGGUUGUCCCACAUCCUCGCCGGCCCUCAGUGUCCUUGGCGUGUUUUCAGCCAUUCGGAGAGGUGCAUUUACUGCCUUUAUGCCCUCUUAAGAGCUUGUGCCCUUUUUCUGUUUUUUUUGUUAAAUUUUAAUUUUUUUUUUUUUAAUUUUGGAUCAGCGUCGAUUGUUGGGUUUGUGAUUUGAAAAUACGUAUUUUCCAGUCUUUUUUUUUUUUUUUUUUAAUUCUCUCCACUAGUGACUUUCAUGGGCAAAAUGCUUUCACUUUUGGUGGAAUCCAGUUAGUUUUUUUCCUGGAUUAAAAAAACUUUUUUUUUUUUUUUUUUUAUUGAAGCCUCAUUUACCAUGGUAGGUUAGUUGCAGGUAUACAACACAAUGAUUCAACAAUUCUCUAUAUUUCUUGGAGUUCUUUAAGGUCUGUACCUAAAUUUUUUUUUUAAUUCCAGUAUAGUUGGAUUGCAGAGUGAUGUCAGUUGCAUGUGUACAAGAUGGUGACUCAGCACUUCUGUACGGCACCCCGUGUGCCUCAUGCAAGGUGUUGCCGUGCGGUCUCCAGAGCUCAGCCGGAGAGGUUGGGGUGGACGCGGGCCCGGGCCCAGGCUUCCUGCCGGUUUCCCAAGAAGCAGAUCAGGUGAGGGACCUACCGCACGGUGUCCUAAAAGCGUGCCUCGGGAGGGGGGCAAGGGGAGGGCCACAGUCAGAUAAAAAUAUAGAUUAUUGAGGGGUUGGACGCAGGUGGGGGCUGCUAUGCAUCUUCCUGGUGAACCUGGGCUUUCUCGGCUCUGGAACAGAACUUUUCGCAUAGUUUGAGCAGCUCUGACAAAAUGAACACGGAUGAAGCCAGUGCGGUUAAAAGCAACAAGUCUGCAAAAGGGUGAAAAGAAAAUGGGGGUCAGAGUGCACGGUGCCACCCUGAGGCUCCCUUCCCUACGUCUCCGCUUUGGUCGCAGAGAGCCCAGAGGUGAGGGGCAAGGACCCGGGAGCCGAGGACCAGGACUUCCCCUCCCGGGAGGGACGCAUGUCCGUGCAGCUCCACAGGACCACCCCGUCCUUCCAGGGGGCUCAGGACUGGGGUGGGGGUGCACUACCCCCUCCGGCAGUAACAGGACCCUCCCCCAUCCAUCCUGAGGGCAGACACCCCCCCAUCCCGGCCUCGUGCUCCGAGCAGUCGUGUCCAGCACCUCAGACCCGACCGUGUCAUGACCUGUGGCCAUGACCUACGCGGGCCUCCCCACCUGCUGGCUCCCACCACGUAAGUGGCUCCGGUCACUGCCGUUGCUCAGGUACCCUCCUCCCCCCACCCCUCCCCUCCUCCCACUUGUGUGCUCUGUUAGCUUCAGGCAAAGGCGGCCAGUCACCCCAGGCAGCUCACAAAGAAAAGGCUGGAAUCGCGUCCGCCUGGGCGGGGAGGCAGGGGAGCCCCAGGAUUCCACUCCGGGGCAGGUGCGCUCGGGGCCCUGGACGGCUGCGGUCAUUGAAUCAUGUUGUGUUUAGCCCGAGCUGCUGGGUGGCCUGCUCCCUGUCUUGGGGUCAGCGGGUGCCCAAGACCCACGAGCCCCCUGCCAGCAGGGGCAGAAUGAGCCGGGACUGUGACCCGCCAUGGCGCAGCCCCCGGGCCUUGCUGCAUCGCUCCGAGCCGCCAGCCCUGGGACAGGGGGGCCGGGAGGCCGUGUCCCCUUCUGCCCUCGGUGGCCCUCCCGGUGGAGAUGCCUCAUCCUCUGCUUCCCCGUGUACUCCAUGACCCCAUCACAUCGCCCUCCCACCCCGUGCGGCCGGCCGGGCACACGCAGGGACUUCGCACCUGGAACACCGCGUGUCGGCGCCUAGGCACCGGCCUCUGCUGACCCCUCACGUCCCCGCCCACUCACCGAGGGCACCCAGGUUCUCCGUCUGGAAGAUCUUCUGCAGGGGCGGGAUGUAAAUCACGGCCAGCUGGCCCAGAAUGGAGCCCAGCACCGAGUACAGGAACAUGGGGUUCCGCAGAAAGCCCAUCUCAAAUAUCAGCUUGGUCUGUGGGAGGAGAAGGGCACGUGUCAGCCGGGUCACAAGCCACGGCUCAGAGGGCGAUGCUUACAGAGGCCUACUCGGGCCGCGGCCGCACCAUUCGUCCCCGAGAGAGCGACUGGGUCCCGCCAGGAAGGGAGGGGAGGGCAGCCCAGGGCUCACCUGAGAGCGGCAGGUCAAGGCGUUGAAGAGGUCGAAGAACACAAAGCAGGUGAAGGUCAUGGUCGUGGUACGCGGGGUGCUCGCCUUGUCUGCGGGGAUCUGGAACACAGAGGAGCGCAGGGUGGGUGGGCCCCCGGGAAGGGGGGUGCUUCUCGUGAUGAUGAGCACGGAGGGAGCAGGAACUCGAGGGGCCUGGACCGCCCAGCAGAGAGCAGCUCUGCUAGGAACUGAUCACGACCGCCCCCUGGGCUGGAGUAAGGGGGGUGUCUCACGACCACCCCCCAUCCCUUCCUCCCCCCCCCCGAGCUGAAACCCUGCACAGGUAAAGGGAGCGUCCCUUCCUGCAGCAGGUGACAUUGCCUCCUGGGACAGGACAGGGCUAUAGCUGCAUCCACUGAGUGUCACGGACAGAGGACGCACACCCUCCCUGGUGCUGCUGUAGGGACCUGAGGCAGGUCUCCUCCCGGGCCUGGCCUGGAGCCAAGGUGGAGCACAGGCUGGACACGGGCGGCCACACCACCUUCCCGGGCAGAAGAUAAAGAGGGUCCCGCUGAUGAUGACAGCAGCCGACAGGAGGAUUUUCAGGAUCAGGGCUUUGCCGAGAAUCGUGUCCUUGACGUUCCGCGGUGGCUGUCGGAGGGCAUCUUUGUCAACCGGCUCUACCCCCAAGCUGCUCGGAACAAGACAGGGGAACCUUGACAUAAACCGCGAGGACACUUAAAGUGCUGAAGCUGUAGAGGCUCUCAGGUCAGCCCCGAAGACACAGCAAAGAGGGGGCUUUGGCCAAGUGCCCCCAGGUCGUCUGCAGGAGCUCAGUCUGGUCCCACUCUUAGGGGGACUUCUCCGUCCUUGCUGGAAGCCCGCCCCUCACAUCCUCUGCCCUCGCCCUAACUCCUUCGAGGGUCCCCACCACCCACCCCACCGGCCUGGGCCCCAGGGGCAGCCACACACCCGUCCCUGAGCACGGCGGAGGAAAACCACCCCCAAGCCGACCACACUACCGUCCUGGAGCCACUCUGGGUCACCCCUCAUGAUCGCACAGCUUCCAUUACAAGGGGACACCCAGCAGGCUGGAGAAACGAGGUCCAGACACCGCGCCCCGGGACCUGCCUUCAGCCGACUGCGCAACAGCAGGACUGGGGCUAGACCAGCGGAAGACGGAACGCGGGGCACCGAGGAGGAAGCCGGCUGCAGAGACGGCUGCGGCCAACUUCCCUCCCGGCCCUGCUCCCAGCGUGUGAAGAGGGACCUCCCCCUGGGCCUGGAGGGACAAAGCGGGACUCCUGCCCUCAGCGGCGACAACUGUGAUAAUUCAUGGUGACAUAUAUGUAUCACAUUUAUAUCACACACACACAUAUAUAAUCAACAACAGCAUGUACUGUGUGCUCGAACCCAGUGCCUCGCUUGUUCCUGGACGUCUGGCUCCCUGACUCCGAAGGUGGUUCUUCCUCCUGCCUGUUCAGCUACCCUCACCCUCCCUUCUCACCCAUCCACCCAGCAACUAACUCGCCGACCACCUACUGUGUGCCCAGCACCGUCCCGGGAGCCGGGAAAUGCUACAAGGAACAAAAACCUUGCCGUAGGGGAAACGGGUCAUCAUCAGAUAAACAAGGACAUACGUAUUUUCUCCUCUAGGGACAAAUAAAGCAGGGUAAGGAGGGAGAGCCCGGGGGCUGCUGUUAGAGCGAUCACGGAGGACAUCUCCCAAGUGGGGACUGAGGCGUGGAGUCACCCAGGGAGCACAUCCCCCCCCUCCGCCGCCCGCCCCGGCUGCCCAUGCAGGUGCUUCCUUCUAUGCCCAGGGCAUCCCGCUGGCUGUCUUCCCCGCAGUGCGCCACACUCCGGCUUUGCAGGACACCCGGGGACGGUGUCCCGUACUCGGUGCAAGGGACCCGAGGCG